rnacentral:tRNA from 1 species
GGCUUCAUGGUCGCGUAGUAAAGACACUUAUCUCUCACACUGGAGUCCCGGAUUCGAUCCCCGGUCGAGGAGCUA